CAACAAGAGCAAAAUACCAUCUCAAAAAAAAAAAAAUUGUUUUUAAUUGGGAGGGUGGCAUGUAGUUUUCACAUUAGAUUCUCUCAGAAAAUUCAACAGAAUUACACAAAACUAAUAAUGAAUGUAAUAUUAAAAAGGAAACCUUCAGACAGAGAAAACAUCUCCAUCUGUAAUUUAUUUUUAAUAUCCAUUUUACUUACAUUUUCCAAUUUCUGUCAUCAGUUUGUUUCUUGACAAGUUUGUCUCUUUUAGGACCUGUAACGUUUUUGUUUAGUAGUGAGCUUUUCUCACUUAAAAGUACUUACUGAAUGACUUCCACUUGGGAGUCAUGUCAGUUUCCUUCAUUGUGUUUCCCCUAUGCCUGUCAGAAGGCCUGGCACAUACUAGUACUUCAUAAAUAAUCUGCUGAAUAAGUGAAUGAGAAUUGGAAACUUAAAAUUUUAUUUCAAUGAAUGGGUCAUCUACUUUCUUGUUUUGCUGAAGCAUGGGGCUUAAGUCCCUACCAAACACUCUUUAAACAUGUGCUCAGGACACUAGCAGAUUUGUCCAGAAUUUUGCAAUCUAGAAAAAAAGCAAUUUUAAUUUUAGUAAGUGUGAAAAUUUUCGUUUUAUGGUUUAGAAUUGCAUUAUUUUGAAUUACAAUUGGGAAGGAAAACAUGAUGGUUCUCAGGUGUGUGUAUGUGUGUGUGCACAUUUACUCCUAUAAUUGCUAACGAAAGUCACCUGAAGGACAUGGCACGGAAACAACCACAAAUCAUUUUUAGGUUAUGUUCCCUAGAUGCCUGAAUCUUUUUCCUUUUUUCAGAUUUGUUUUUAUUAGACAAGUCACAGUUUGAAUAUCUUUGAAAGUCAUUGUUAUGUAUUGUGCAGUGUAUGUGUUUACAUGUGGAAGAGGGGCAAUAUUAAUUCAUCAUUUUGGGAAGGCACUGAAUAUAAUAUUAAAUUUGUGCAAACAAUCAUAUGUUAGAUAAAGAUUCUGCAAUUAUUGGAAGAUUUAAAAAAAUAAAGUCAAAGGACACUGUUCUUUUUAGUGCUACUCAGUAUGUUUGGUUUCAGUACUAAUCAUGCUUGCUUUCCUGCCUGGCUUUAAAUUCUGCUUAAGGAAAUUGUGAAAAAUUUAAUUCACUCUACUUUUAUUAUAAGGUAUAGAAAUGUUCGUACAUGGGAACUUUCAUUGCCUGCUAGAAUGGAAAUUCAUUGGGGAGGGGGGAACCAUUUCAUUUUACUACCUAAGAGCUGUUGAUACAGUCCCUGCAUCUUUCAAAGGCAUCUUUCAUGCCACACGGGCAAACUGUAGCCAGCGAAGAAACAGAAAGAGCCCUUCUCACAUAUGUCAAUCUCAGAAAACUUGUACAGCAGCUGUGCUAGGUACUGAUGGGAUGACUAUAGGACCCAGUUGCAGGGUUUUGUAUGGAUAAAGAGACAACUGGCUUUCUCAGGGGACCACUUUGUUGGAGAUUGUAACAAUAAUGCAUCCCCACUGUUGCUAGAAGACAUUGUGACCAUGUAUUACAAAAUCAGUGCCAGAUAAAAUCAGAAAGUAACAAAAAGCAAUAAGAAAACUCGGCGUUUUUUUAAAUCUUAAAGUGAGAGACGAAAACAAAUGUUCUGGGCUUAUUUCAUUCAUUUCUAAGGAAAAGGAGACAGACGAAGGGAUGCCUUUAACUCAGAAAACUUGCCGGGCUCUCAGUCUUUUCGUUUGAGAACCAUUUGGGUGUGUUGGGAAAAAAAGUUGCAGAGUAGGCAUGUUCAGACCUUUAUUUGCUACAUUUGGUAGGAAAGAUUUCCUCUCCCCCCACCCCCCUUAACUACAAGAAGCCAGAGUUUUCUGUGCAAACGAAACAGGCGUUGCAAGAAUCAGAUUCACUUUGGACGACUCUUCACAUUCCAAGUCAUCAUUGCGUUAGGCAGCACAAUUCCAUCUCUGGUUGAUGGGCAGAAAAAGUGGGCAGCUUGCCAGGUAGACGUUUCCAUGACUCCCAGCCCCCAAAGGUGAUGCGUUUUUCAGCUAAUUCAAUGAAGAGUGGGCUGAACUUUGGGUCUAAACGAGACAAUAGCUGCCUUCGCAGUAUCAGCAGAAUGGUUGAUGGGAAUGCACUCUACAUUUGGCAGAGAAUCAUGUGACCUUACAGCAGAGAUUUUGUGAUGGUGCCAACGGAGACUUGGAAAGCAGCAACCGUCCUGACUUUUUUCUUCUUUUCUAACAUGGCUCAGAAAAUGGUGGAUCUUAAUACUUGACUUUAGCCAGACUCAGCAAGCGACUGAGCUUUGAAGCACAACUUCGUCUUUAUUCUGGGUUUUUGGCAGGCCACCAGGAGGCUGUCCCUUUCACGCCUGAUAAAUUCUGCUGCUUAUCUCUAAAUAGAAAAAAAAGGAAAAUAAUAACAGAAUAUUGAGGCAUAACAAGUGAAUUCUAAAAUUGUAUGUGCUUUUUGUUUUUUUGCCUUUUCUGACUGCUAAUUUUUUUCUUUUUAAGUGUUAAUUUAAUACCCUUUCUGCUUGUAGAAGAAUCCAAGUAGUUGGGUCUUUUUUUUUUUUUUUUUUUUUUUUUUUUUUUUUUUUUUUUUUUUUUUGGUUUAUAAUGAAACAGGCAUUUGAACUGGGCAAACAGGACGACAGCAGCAGUGAGCAUGAGAUCAUUGCAUUGCAGCAGUGUAGCAAACUGGCACCCUGCCUUUGCACCCCUUUGGUUCAGGAGACAAACGUGUGCAAUCCUCAUUUCUAAAGUCAGCACAGCCUGGAAGGAUUCCUGGUCUCUCCCACCUUCUACCAUUCUGCUGCCAGUGACGGCAAGGAUUGGUGCAGCUUCUGCGCAGUGCUUUGUGCCUGGAAUACCGAGAAGGAGGAAAAAGAAGACAAGCACCCUGGUCCUUUUCUAAGAAAUUACAGGCGCCCUUGAAGAAAAAAAUCUGAGUUUGUCCUACUACAUGCAAGAGUGCUGGGGGAAAAAAAAAAGACGCUCCUGCUCAAAAACAAAAACAAAAACAAACAAACAAAAAUCCAAACCAAAACAAACCAAAAAAAAGCAAACAUUGGCUGUAUAACUACAGAGACAUCGGGCUUUGUAAAGCAGCUUUUUAAGGCAAUAGAUCCAAAUGAGCCUUCUUUAUUUUUAUUAUUUCAAACAAUAUGGCAUAAUUAGCAAUAUAUUGCACUUGGUGAAAUCGCACCUUUCAUAUCAGGUAUAACUUUUUUUGUUGUUUUUUUUUCUUUUAAAGACUACUGUUAUGUAAAAGGGAAUCCUUGAACUUUCCAUUUACUCUUAUUUAACUCAUUGCCCACUUUACUCUUGUUAACUUUUUCCUUUUCCUCUCUUGCUCUAAUGUCGAUUAGAAUAGAAACUUAAGUAAACAUAGAAAAAUCUCUAUGAAAAAGACAAUACAUGUUUUUAUGUGGGGUAUACACAGAAGUUUUGGAAGGACAUUAAUGUAUCUGUGCUUUUUGUGUCCAGUAUUAGUUUUUGCUAUCUAAGAAAAGUGAAUGUUUAGACCUAGUGGGUAAAAAAGUAAAUAUUUCAUGUGACUUAUCAUUUGAAAUGUGAAAAAAGAAACUUUUUAAACUUGUAGAAAAAGAUUAUAUUAGAAUAUGCAUUAAAUUACUGAUAAAUAAGAUUACUUUUGGGGAAGUUAUAUUCAAUUAUUUACAAAGAUUUCAGCAGAACAAAAAUAGUAAUGAAAAGAGCAUGUUCUCGGUUGCUAGGUAGAAAAAAAGCUUCUCUCGAAAUAAUAUUCUCUUUUAAAAUACGUUUUAAAAGAAGUAUUUGUCCUAGAGCAGUUGCAAAAAGCAUUGGAAAUAUUCAUUAAGUAUAUUAAUAGAAAAGGUACAUACAAACUUGUUUUAAGUUCAGAGCAAUAUUACUCAGCAGAUAAAUGCAUUGCAUUGUAAUUAUUGUGUCUGUUUGUAGAAGUAAAUUGCUAAGCAAUUUAAGCGUUUUAUUAGAAAAAGCAGUUUUGCCUGGUUCAGUGUGAAAGGAUUAGGAGAUGCAUUUGGUUAUUUUAAUUUUGAUACAAGAUGUUUCUAAGCAUGUGUUGAAAAUGUUUUUAAAAGAGAAUGCUUUUGAAAAAGUCAGCAUAUAUCAAUGAAGACUAUAAUUUUCAUACUGAGAAAUGAUGUUAUAAUAUUUUGGUAAAAAAAAUUUGGUGCUCUUAUGAUUUUAAAAUCAUAUUUUAUUAUUAAAAAUAUGUAGGGUAAACAAUGAGAAAUAUAGAACUGAAUAAUUUUGUCUUCGUGUUUGCUAUUCUAUGAACAAUUACAGGAAAUUACAAAAUCCCUAUAUACUGAUAACGUUCCAAUAAAACAUUUUGUUGAUUAUUAUUCACUAGUUAUUUACAAAAUAGCUCUUAUUCCCUCAUCCUGCCUCAGCUAAUGGUAUACCAACUUUCACAGGCUUAAUUAAUAUUGAUAACCUGUUUCCAUGUUUCAAGAUCCUUUAGUUUAAAAACAUUAUUUUAAAUGUUAUUUUAGCAGCCAUUAAUCUCUACACUCUUAAUUAUCUUAUUAAGCUCCAUGCCAAAUCCAAAUCUCUUUUCAGCUUUCACUACUUCAUUGUGCAAAACCUAGUCGCUUCCUUAACAGCCAUCGUCCUUUCACUUUCAAAACUGUUACUGUGAAAAUAACACCAACCAAAAUGAACGCGUAAAUGCAAACUAUGAAACCACUUUAUAUGUCAUAUGAGUGGCCUGGGUGGGGCCCUAUGAGUCUUCCAAGCCUUUAAAAAAAUAUACUUUAAAAGGUUUUGCCCAUUUUGAUACCAUGUUUUCUUCUCGAUCAUCUACCCUCAUUCCCACCAUCCACUCAGAUGCUCCUCCUAAAUAGCAGUUGUCUGAUAUUUCUCCUUUUGUGGUUGUUUUAGGGAAAAACUUAAAAUGGAUAUGAAAAGUGAAGAAAGUGAUCAUAGGAGAAAACCAUUUCAGAUCAACUACCUCAGAAGAACCAGAUUCCACUUCUGUGGCCAGGACUUUUAUGUUAUGGCUGGUCCGAUUGUUUUACCCUGCGUUCUAUGCUACUAAACCUUGGAUAAUUCCUAAAGUACAAAUUCUGUUCUCGAACCACAAACAAGGCUAAAAGAUCGGAGGAAAUUCAGUGAAUAUACAGGAUUGGGGUUGUGUAUUUUCAAAAGUACUGAGCUUUAUAAUUCAAUUAUUCAAGAAGUAGAAUCAUGUUUUUUUUUUUUUUUUUUAUGAUGCUGCCAGCAUUUUAAAUUACAUGUUUAUUAAGUGGCAUUGCUCAAAUAACUACAGAGUAUGCGUGGAAAUAUUUGCUGUCUGAAUAGUGUGGAGAUUCAAAGAGAAAAAUCAAGCUUCAGAGGUAUUAAAUUAUGACAUGCAGAAAAGUUUUUGUUUUGCUCUUAACUGCAACCGUAUAUAUUUUAAUCCGAUUUAAAGUGUUAUAUGUCCUGGGCCCACCUUGACAGUUGUGCUGUAUACCAAUGUAAUGAGAAGCAAAAUUUCAAUUAGGGUCCCAUUAACUGGCAUAUAAUCCUUCUUUAAUGUAAUAGAGGCUAUGGUGUUGCUGUACAAAUCAAUUUUUAACCCAUUUUUAGUCUCUUUCUUUGGAUCUAAUGGAAUGACUCUUAACUGUUCAUUGUCUGCAUUGUUUCUCAUAUUCUUCAUUAUUUUAAGGUCUGGAAUUAGUCUGUAAAUGGUCGUCGUGAUUACUCAGCUCAUCCUAACUUUUAUAUAUCAUAUAUAUUUCUACUUAUGUGUUUUAAAUAGUAUUUAGAGGUAAAAGCCUAAGUGAACCCAACUGUAAUUUCUGAGCUAUCCUUAUUUCUGGAAGAAGAAUUCUACUGCAUCAAACCAGACUUUUCCUAGUCCCUGAGACCCUAACUUGUGAGAUAUUUUAGUAACAUCACAAGUCAGGCUCUUGGGACCUAGGCGGAGGGGAACCAGCAGCUUUGGACCUUAUUGAUUGUCUGCAGUUACCACCAGAACAAAAGAACAUACAUAGAUUCUGCCUAGGAGAAAAGAACAAUGCUUUCCUUUAUCAUCAGCAAUGUUUUCACCAUGACCCACCCCCAAAAAUACAAUUGUCAGAAACUGUACUCUAAAGUGAUUGCACAGUUGCACUGAAAUAGCAUUUGUAUUAUAACAGUCAUACAAAAGCAAUGUAAGAAAUCUGUGUAAGAAGCAAAAUUACAAUACAAGUGUUAUAAAAUGCUGCUUUUGGUGCAUUUUAAGGUGGCUAGUGUAAGAGGAUAUCUCUUAAGUUAAUCAAGAAAGGGAAUUAUAUUUAUAACUUUUUUUCAUGUGCAUUGAAAUAUAUACAUUAGCUACUGAAAUAAAUUCUGUAUGUCUCCAUAUAGCUAUGGCUUAACCUAUGUCAUAUACAGCUAUAAUCAUGCUUGAGGCCUAGAAAUAACAGGAUUUACAAUCUUCUUUAUUGACCCUAUUAGACUUUACUACCGAUUUAAGAAGAAUGCUGCUUUAUACUUUAUGCUUAGUGCCAGGGUUUUCCUGAGUCUUCCAUCCAAACAACGUACUUUAUAUGUCUUAACAAUUCUGACAAUUAUCUUAUUAUGAGAGUCUAAGAGUGAAAGUUUCAUCAAUCAUAUGGGAAAAUAUGGCAUAUUUUAGUUUUUACAGUUUACUGUGUACAUAUCAUGGACCUAUGUGAGAUAAAACAGUAAACGCCACCUAGGAAGUCAAACUGCUUUGACUAGCAACUGUAUAUGAACUGCAUAGUUUUAGUUUUAUAAGAAUUUCAGUUUUAUCAGAGGUUACUAUUCCAACCAUAAGUAAUAUGUCACAUUUGAACAUUUAAUAGCCAUUGCCACAUCAGACAUGUCUUUCAUGGAAAUGGAAUCAGUAUACUAAAUCUAUUUUAAAAUUUUACAGUAAUGUUACAAAUACCAAGAUUCAAAAUGGGGAUGACAGACUUUCCAUAAUAGAAGCAACAAAGUCGCUUCAUUCUUUUAACUAUUGCCUUAGAUGGGUGCCAUAAAUUAUGUGUUUUCUGCAUUGUUAAAAUAAAUUUAUGAAUGUAUUUUAGAAUACUAUAUGGAAUCAUUGUUCACAUUUAAAAAAAUUUCUUAUAACACCUUGAAAUAUUACAGAAUAUAAAUCAUCUAUUAGUCAUAGUUAUUAAAAAUUAAUAUAAUAUCAUAAACAUGCAUCUAUAUAAAGCAUGCAGAGUAUGUUUAAGCAUAUAUGGACACUGUACCUAUUCAGAUUCUUUAUUUAUAUCAUCUACUUCAUUUAUCUAGAAGUUCUGAAAUUUUAGGUGUGUGUAUGUGGUAUGUAUAAAUACAAGUUUUAAAACUCCAAAUGAAAAAAGGCAAUAAAAACAGUAAAGAGUUUUGGUUGUAUUUAUCUUUUACUAAUUUUGACCUCAUUCUCGCUGGAAUUGAGCAUUUUUUAAAACCAUAAGUUUCUUAAUACAAAGAAAUCUGUGCAUGUGUAUCUACAUGUACACAGAAACUUGAUUAUGUUUAAUAGCAAUGUUCACACAACGAAUUUAAAAGUACUUCAUAUAUAAAAUAAUAUCACAUACAAGUAUGUGUUUACUGACACCUGUUUUAACAUGCUCAUAAAUAAUAUCUGUAACAGUUUCCAUCAGUUUAACUCCAAAACAAUGUGAGAGGUAGAUGUUUAUUGGCUAUAGUGAUAUCAGAUAUAGGUUAUUGAAAUGUGAAAAUGUUUUAAUGUUAUCAUAUUCAGGGACCACACUUUAUAUUAACUUCUGUCUCAUAAAAGAAAUAUACCAAAGCUGAAUUGAGAAUGCAAUGGUGUUUGUUCAUUUUCACCAUAAACAUAUAAAAUUUUUUUUACUGAUAAUCCUACAUGAUUGGAACUUCUCUAUGUAACCCUCCUAUGAUAACUGUCUUUUGAGAGCCUCAUUGAUAAAGCUCUUCUCUUACUUCAUAAAGGUGUGUAGAGAUUUAAGUGGGUGACUUUGUUUAUAUAAGCUACUUUAUGCUGUAUGUGCAUAGACAGAUACCACUUUUUCUGCAUUUCUGUCUCCGCUGUCACAGAAUAAUAUUGUUUUAGGGCUUUAUGAUGUGAUUUGGAAAAUCAGAUCAUACUAAGCUUAAAAUAAAAGGAGAGAUCUACAACAAAGAGCGAGAAAAUGAUGUGUGUUGCAUACAAAAAAAGCAAUGAUAUUAACAAUUCGAUGGCUUCCUGGUAGGGAGACCAGCCUGAGCCAGACGCAUAUAUUAAGGGCUGUCUGCUGCCGAUGUGAGCUUGCUCAAUGCGGUGGAAAUGAGGAAUCAUCUCCUUUCUGACACCAGCUUAUUUGUACAUUUUAAUUUUGAAAUAGCAAAUCAUUGUUUUACAUAAAUAUACUAACCCUGCCUGAUUCGUUUUCUUUUCCAUAUUGUUUGUUAAUUUACUGUCAACUUCAACUUCCUUUUUUUAGCAAAAAAAAUAAUCACUCAACUUAAAUAUCUACCAAAGACCAAUGAAGUAUUUUUCUUUUGUCUUUUUGUAUUGCUCUGAUAAUAUUGUGAUACUCAUGUUUUUAACUUUUAAUCUCUUUAAGGAAAACAUCAGUUUUCCAAAAUAGCAUUUUUUAAAGGCUUUUAGUAUCCAUCCAGGAAGCCACUCUGGAAUUUUGCCAAAUCUGAAUAUGAUUUUAUUUCAUUUCAGAGUUUAUGGGAUCAAUAUCUUUUUUAGUAUAAAAGUCCCAAACAUUUUAGUAUUCCAGUGGAGCUACAGAAGAGGUGUAGAGAUAUUCUUAAAUCAUUUAAGCAUUAGGCUACAUUAAUAAUGUCUUGAAGAGAAAUAAGCAUCUCAGGGGAAUUAUAGUACAAGUUAAUUACUAAUGAAAUUAGAAAGGGUGUGUUCUGCCUUAAACUCCUCUUCAAAUGGGCAUGCUGGUACAUGUGCCUAGGCUUGGCCUAAUACACCCUAAAUAUGUAAACGAUUUUACAAGCUGUCAUGUUUGGAUGGGUCUUCAGAAAAGCAGUAUAUAAAGGGUUAGCUAACACCCAAAUUUUCUUGCCAUUUACACAUGCAAUGCAGCCUACAUUUCUGUAGGCAGCAAAUGCAGGCAUCAUUUUGAUUGCUUGGAUUCUUUUGUUUAAUUUUUUACUAGACAUUUAACUUAGCACUCAAAUCCCACUGAUCCCUUAGAGACUGCAUUUGGAUAAGGAAAACGGAGUUUCUAAUAUAGAGAAGUUUAAAAAAAAUUUCCUGGGCCUUUGUAAACAUUUGAAAAAUAGACUUUUAGUGUAGCUCUGGAAAUAACAUAUUUAGUAUGCAGAAACUUAGGUAUCAUUAUUAUCUAUCAUCUUCACGUUUAGUUUUCUUAUCUUUCAAUAACCAACUAAUACAGUAGGUGACAUAUAUAUUUCCUAUAUGUCUUUAUUUUUUAAAAAGGUUUAGUAAAAACAGUACAAAAUUGGAGAUACCUUCAUAAAAUGAUUCACACCAUUUAUUCAAUGAACUAGCUUCAAUUUUAAUUAAAUGUUGCUUUUCCCCACAUCUCUGCAUGCUAAAUGUAACUUACUGACAUGAAGUACAUUAUCAGCCAAUAAUAUUAACUUGUAUAUAAUAUUUUACUUGUAGGAAUUUGAAAGCAGGUGGAACUUGAAGGUAAUUGAGAUUAAGUGAAUUUAAGAUUAAAUAGCUUCAUGUUAUAUACACAGUUAAUUUCAUGCAUAUUUUAUGGACAACUUAAAAGUGAAAAUUUCUGUUAAGGUGAACUAAAUUUUUCAUUACUGAUCUAAGUAAUGUGACUUUAAGUCUGUUACCUUAAUAAUUCCUAAACAAACAAAACAAGUGUAAAAAUAAUCAUGGACUAUAUCUGUUAGGUCAAGUAAAUGAGAAUAAAAACUUCUAGGUUUUGUCAUGGCCAUAUAAGGUUUUUUAGGUGUUUUGGGGGUCUUUUGUGUAGGCAGAUUUAACAUUCCCUCUUUUCUAAAAAGUUUCUCCCUCUUUGUCAAUAGGUGUCUGAUGAUUUGUGAGCAUCAAGUGACUACUCUGUGGAAUCCUCUGUCCUUGCCUUUGAAUUAGCUUUCCCUAGGCCAUUAGUCAACAUUAGUAGUUUAUACAUCCAUAUUGGUAGGUCCUUAUUGAAAUCCUUCUAUGUAUUUGUUCUAGACAUACAAGUGCAGUAUAAGAAAUACAUUGUGGUUGUUUUUACAGCAUCUGGAUAUCUUCAGGAAAAUAUUUGGGUGGCAUUGAAACACUGGCCAAUGGAAGCAUUUGAUUUUGUAGAAUUUUGAAAUGCAGUGCCUUACUGGUAGUACAUUUCCUAGUCUUAGGGGUGGGGGGACCAGUCUGUAGCUAACUUAUUACUCUGUUAUACAUCACACUAAAGCCUAGCCUGGGCAUUUGUAAACCUCGGCGAGGUUUCUACUUUAGACAACAUUUUUUGUUGAGGGAUUAUACCACAGUCAGUUCCCUCCAUUUCUCCCUCUCUUCCUGGCCCCCCUCCACCCAACAUGGAGCCUUUUCAACUUCUUCAAAGAAGUGGAAAAAAAAAAAAGGAAGACUCUUUAUUAAUGGCAGAAAACAAACUGGCUGCUGUACUUCCGAGGCAGCUCUCUAA